rnacentral:rRNA from 1 species
UUCCAGGUGUAGCGGUGAAAUGCGUAGAGAUCUGGAGGAAUACCGGUGGCGAAGGCGGCCCCCUGGACAAAGACUGACGCUCAGGUGCGAAAGCGUGGGGAGCAAACAGGAUUAGAUACCCUGGUAGUCCACGCCGUAAACGAUGUCGAUUUGGAGGUUGUGCCCUUGAGGCGUGGCUUCCGGAGC